ACACCAGUUGAUCCUGCUGGAGGAUACUGCUAUCGGAUUACGACUAAGACAUGCAAGUUCAAAGACCAAAGCUUUUGGUCUUGGCGAACGGCUGAGUAACACGUAGUCAACCUACCCUAGGGAUUCGCAUAACUUCGGGAAACUGAAGCGAAUUCGUUAUAGGCAAGGAAUUCUGGAACGAAUCCUUGCUUAAAAGAGCACUUGAAAUGCAGAGUGUUUCGCCCUAGGAUGGGACUGCGUCUGAUUAGGCUGUUGGCGAGGUAACGGCUCACCAAACCAAUAAUCAGUAGGGGCUAUGAGAGUAGGAGCCCCCAGAAGGGCACUGAGACAAGGGCCCUAGCCCUAUGGGGUGCAGCAGUUACGAAAAUUCCGCAAUGCGCGCAAGCGUGACGGGGGUAGUCCGAGUGCCAUCCGAAAGGAUGGCUUUUGGCCAGUCUGAAUAACUGGCAGAAUAAGUGGUGGGUAAAACCUGUGCCAGCCGCCGCGGUAAUACAGGUAGCACGAGUGGUGUCCACGAAUAUUGAGUCUAAAGCGUCCGUAGCCGGUUUGGUAAAUUUUCUGUGAAAUCUCUCGGCUUAACCGAGAGGCUUGCAGGGAACACUGCUAGACUCGGGAGUGGGGGAGGCCUGAGGUACGCCAGGGGGAACGGUAAAAUGUUUUAAUCCUUGGCGGACCACCAGUGGCGAAAGCGUCAGGCCAAAACACGUUCGACGGUGAGGGACGAAGGCUAGGGGAGCAAACCGGAUUAGAUAUGCCUUUCGGAAAAAACGAGUUAAAAAUAAGCGCGCUGCUUCCAAAACAACGCGUCAAUUACGCCGAGCCCACAACGUUCGGCAAUUAUUUUUGGGUGAUAUUUGGAAAAUUAAUUCCGUUCCGUGUCAUCUAUAAUUAAAAUGAAUUUUUCAACCGCGUAUGGUUGAAAACUGUUCAAAAGCGGUUUUUUCGGGGAGGCACUAAACACCCGGGUAGUCCUAGCAGUAAAUGAUGCAAACUUGGCGUUGCACUUGCCUCGAGCGAGUGCAGUGCCGCAGCGAAGGCGUUUAGUUUGCCACUUGGGGAGUACGGUCGCAAGACUGAAACUUAAAGGAAUUGGCGGGGGAGCACCACCAGCCGUGGAUGCUGCGGUUCAAUUGGACUCAACGCCGGGAAACUCACCAGGAAAGACGGCAGGAUGAAGCUCAGAUUGAAGAUCUUAGCUAACAAGCCGAGAAGUGUUGCAUGGCCAGCGUCAGCUCGUGCCGUGAAAGAAUCAUCUUCGCGUAUGACGGAAAGCGUCCAACCAGCGGCUCAAUGCCGCGGGCGUUGCUUUCUGACCGAAAAAGGUUCUUCGGCAGAGGUGUCAGGUUAAGUCCUGCAACGAGCGAGAUCCCCGUCCACUGUUGCCAGCGCCGAAGCGAUUCGGCGGGCACUCUGUGGAGACUGCCUGCGUUAAGCGGGAGGAAGGAGGGGGCAACGCUAGGUCAGUAUGGCCUGAAUUUCCUGGGCCACACGUGGCAUACAAUGGUCAAGACAAUGAGCUCCGACGCCGAAAGGCGAAGGCAAUCCCAAAAACUUGACCUCGGUUCGGAUUGGGGGCUGAAACUCGUCCCCAUGAAGCUGGAAUGGCUAGUAAUCGCGUGUCAUCAUCGCGCGGUGAAUAGGUCCCCGCUCCUUGCACACACCGCCCGUCAAGCCAUCCAAGUAAGGCUUUGGUGAGGCUCGAGCUUCUGCUUGAGUCGAGCCAGAGCUUUGUGAGGAGGGUUAAGUCGUAACAAGGUAACCGUAGGGGAACCUGCGGUUAGAUCACCUCCAAU
rnacentral:rRNA from 1 species